UUUCAGUCUCGGUAUGAAUUGUCAAGCACUUAGAUGGAAAAGGAAAGAUAUUUUGAGAAUCGACAAGAACAGGAUUUCGGGAUAAUGCAUCUGCAUUGGAAUUGAUUUUCCCAGGUUUAUAGACCAUCUCAUAAUCGUAUUCGUUUAAUCUAAUACGCCAUCUCAUGAUACGGGAAGUGGGAUCUUUUACGUUGUGCAGCCAAAUCAGCGGUCGAUGCGUCAUUAAGGGUCCGAGAUGCAUACGCAAUUGGGAGAUCCUUUCCGAUCUGACCCUGACUCAAUACAGCUCCUACUGCAUAAUUAGAAGCAUCAGUUGUUACGAGGAAUGGCUGUUGAAAGUUGGGAAAUUGGAGCAACGGCUCCGAACAAAUGAUAUCACGUAAACUCUCGAAAGCGAAUUUGACAUCUUUACUCGAGACAAAAGGAAAUGACUUAACAGCCAUGAUCUUCCCGGGGUCUGGUUUCACUCCUUUGGCAGAGAUAACGUGACCCAAAUAGGCAACUUCUCGUCGCAAGAAUCGACAUUUCUCGGGUUGUAACGUUAAACCGGCAUUCUGCAACCGAGCCAAGAGAAUUCUCAAUUUACGAGUAUGCUCUUCCAAAGAAUCAGCAUAUAUGACGAUGUCGUCCAUAUAUACAAAAAGCUCGACUCCUUGUAAACCAACCAAAACCAAAUCCAUGCACCUCUGAAACGUGGCUGGAGCAUUUUUAAGCCCGAAGGGCAUAUUAUUAAAUUCAUAAUGCCCAUUAACAGUUGAGAAAGCGGUCUUGGAUUUAGAAUCCGGAUGUAUGGGGACCUGAUGGAAGCCAGAGGCAAGAUCGAGGGUACUAAAAUACUUGGCGGCCCCCAAUUGAUCCAAGACAUCCAAAAUAUUAGGGAGAGGAUACGCAUCAUUGAUAGUCUUCUCAUUUAACUUACGGUAAUCUAUCACCAUGCGCCAGCGAGGCUUACCAUCAGGGCCAAGGUUUUUUAGGUACAACCCAAACAGGCGAAUUAUAAGGAGAAGCAGAUGGCUGAAUUAUCCUAUUUUCAAGGAGUGAGUCUAUCUGUUUUUGUAUUUCCUCUUUGUGAACUAGUGGAAACCGAUACUGUUUCGUAUUUAUAGGUAUUUCAUCCGUAGUCACUAUUUUAUGUUUGAUUGUACUAGUAGAAUUUAAUUUAUCCGAAGGCAGAUAAAAUUGAUACGGAAAUUCAUUCACGAUUUUUAAAAUACUAGCCUGUUCAGAAUCGCUCAAAUCCUGCAUAUCGAGAAGCUUCGCCAAUUGAACGAGCCUAGCAGCAUCGGCUUUGGAUCGACCCUUAUUUGGAUUUCCCGUCCGAGCCGAACGCGGCGAAGGAGGAAUUUCAAUAAACUCUUCUAAUUCAACGGGGGGUAUUGAAAGAGUCACACUAUCGGACGGUUAGGAGAGUUUUCAUGCGAGGUGGUAAACUAACUGAAACCCCUGUAUGAAGAGGCAAUUCCUGCCCCCCAACCCGAAGACUAUUUAGCCACAAUGUCCUUGAAUGUUAAUAUCGCUUGUUGCUGCUCCAAAAAUGGAAUACCCAAAAUUCCUAUUCCCGAAAUCGGAAACUCAUCGUUGACGAUCUGGAAUUUAACGCCAAUACCGAAAAUUUCGAUAAUCACCUCACCGAGAGUGCUAAGACCCUCUUUAUCGAUACCAACUAUAUUAUAAAUAACGUCAGUAUCCACCAACAAGCCAGAAAUAAUGCCUUUACGUUUGAUUAGAUUAAGUUGGGAGCCAGUAUCAAUGAGAAAAUUGCCAAUUCCCUUAUGGAAUGAAUUAUGCGAUAACCCUAAAAUAGGCAAUCGACCAACACCUUUCACGUCGAAGUGGAAGCAUGUUCGUUUAACUGAGGACGCGCAAUUAGGGGUUCGCUCCGCUUCGCGUUUCCCCGCGGAGCCCCCUUUAAGUUUAAAUGUUGCGGCUUGGGUAUAACAGUUUCACGUUGCAUCCCAGUAUUUUUGUAAUUUCCCUUUUUAAAACAACGCGACUCGGUAUGCCCUGUCUUUUUACAAAAUUUACAUCUUAACCUUUCAGGAGCCGAUGGAUUAUGAAAAUUCUUUUUUAGUUGAGGACAAUUGUAACGGUAAUGGCCUUCUUGAUCACAAUUAUAACAUUUAGUAUUGCUGAUACUAGCGGUAGCAACCCGAACAUUUGACGAUGAAAAUUGCUUUACGGGGUCAGCCAUUUCUUGUUCCAAUCUACUCGCAAUACUAACUAUAUCAUCAAAUGUUUU